rnacentral:tRNA from 1 species
GUUUUAAUAAUUUAAUAAAAUAUUAGUCUUGUAAACUAAAAUUAGGGAAUAUCCUUUAAAACU